UAAAUUACCCGUAACGAAUCUACUUUAAAUCCGUUAGCAACUGUGCAAGAAACUUGAUUUUCCUUAACCAAAGUAAAACCCAGUUUUUCAAAGUAAGCGUGUGAUGAAUUUCCUAGCAAAGAAACGCAAGCUCCAGAAUCGAAUAAUCCUAUAAUAUGUUGUUUCCCUACACUCACUUGAAGAUAAGGUCUAAUAUCGUCCUCAUUAGUAGCAAAUAAGACUGUGGCAAUUGAUCCGUAGCUGUAAUAUUUUUCAAUCGCCGCCAAUACCUGCAUGUUUUGCGUGCUAUUGUCACAGUCUAAGUCCACUAGUUUUUUUGGUCCUUGUUCUUCAUUUGAGGACAAUCCGCUUUAAAAUGAUCGUCUUUUCCGCACUUAAAACAACCACGUAGAAUGCAUUUUUUUUUAAAUAUGAUUUGAUAUCCCGCACUUAAAACAAACCUUCCUAGUAUUGGAACGUACCUCACCUCCGUUUGACAUCUUUGACGUAGACGUCUGUGAACUCUGUGGUACAUCAUUAGAUGCUUUAUUUGACAUUUGCUUUUCUCCAUAUUUGUGCUUAUUAUUACUGAAAGAUUGACUAAUGCGAUUAGAUGGAUCAGAUUGAUUAAAAGAAGAAAUAGCCGAAACUCCUGGCUGUGUUUUCUUUUGUGGUUUAUACAAAAAUUCAGAUAAAGGCGUACUCAGCCUAUUAAACAUUCCUGACAUUAAUGCAAAAUAAAGAUGAAGUGGCUCAUCUUCUCCUUGCGUACGAACACGAAUCUCAUUUGCUAACUUAUAAUCGUACUCUGUAUCCUGAAAAUCACUCAACAACAACAAUGCAAGUUCCUGCCAUGAUGACACCUUAUUCCUGUUUGCAUGGAACCAUAUAAGAGCAUGAUCCGAGAAUAACCUGGCUGCAGAAUACAAAAGUUUAGAAUCUGAAACUCCAUAAGCCUGUUGAAGAUCUUGAACGAUUUCUAAAAAUGUCUUUGGGUCUGUGUGUCCAUUGAACUUGAGAUUCCAUUUCAAAAUGCUUUUAUGACUACGAUCCGACUCCGACACAACCUGUUCUUCCACAAAAUUACCAGAAGAACCUUCACCUGUCGUUAACGAAGAAGUCACCUUACCGACGUUAUCAAGUUUAGUCAAAAAACCGUCAAGUGAUUGUUUACUUGCCUUUAUUUGUGUUUGUGUACCUGUGACCUCUGGUCGAACCCUAGAAAUUCUGUGAAAUAAGUGAUAAGCCAAUGCUUUUGCCUUAAUAAAAGUGUAAUUUUCUCUUGAUUGUU